GACGAACGCUGGCGGCGUGCUUAACACAUGCAAGUCGAACGGAAAGGCCCUGCUUUUGUGGGGUGCUCGAGUGGCGAACGGGUGAGUAACACGUGAGUAACCUGCCCUUGACUUUGGGAUAACUUCAGGAAACUGGGGCUAAUACCGGAUAGGAGCUCCUGCUGCAUGGUGGGGGUUGGAAAGUUUCGGCGGUUGGGGAUGGACUCGCGGCUUAUCAGCUUGUUGGGUGGGUAGUGGCUUACCAAGGCUUUGACGGGUAGCCGGCCUGAGAGGGUGACCGGGCAAAUUGGGACUGGGGUGAGGCCCAGACCCCUACGGGAGGCAAGAGUGGGGAAUAGUGCACAAUGGGCGGAAGGCUGGAGGAACCACGCCGCGUGGGGGGAGACCGGCUUCCGGUUGGAAACCGGCUUUGCCUUUGACGGGGGGGGAGUGACGGUAAUGGGGAAAGAAGCCACGGCUAACUACGUG
rnacentral:rRNA from 1 species